UUCAAUUAAUGCGAUUGUGAUAAACAACCUUCACUACUCAUGAAUAUAAACUUGUAACGAUUAGGUGAAACUCAUUUAUAUUCUAGCAUCUAAUUCAUGCAUGAAAACUAAGUAUGCAUCCUUAAUAAACAUACAAGAAUCAGUUAUGAAUAAAAUAGAUAAUUGAAUUGCAAUCACAACUUAUCAAAUCACAAUUGGAAGAAAUCAAUUUAAAUCUCAAGCAUGUUCAUGGCUUCAAACUUCCCCCUAACUAAAUAGGGGUUUAGCCACUCAUACUUACAAAGCAAAGAUAAACAAAUUUAAACAUUGAAAACAAAAGAAAGAAAACACCUAAAAACGCUCCAACAAUCCAAUUUGAAUGGCAAGCACGUCCAAGGGUCCUCUUUCUUCUCUUUGUAGCAGCACAAGGUGUGGUUUGAUGGAUGAGUGGUAAAUUAUGGUAGUAGAUGGAUAUAAGUGAGUUAUGGUGAAGGGUGGAUGGGUGGAUUGUGUUCUCUUUGGAUUUCUUCCCCCUUGUUAUGGUGAAUGGUGGAUGUAUUUAUAGGCUAGGGAGAGGACCACCAUCUAAUUAAGGUGGUAGUGAUGAGUGUUGUGGUAAUGAGUGGAUGUAAUGGGUGUGGUGGAUGAGUGUUUGGUAAUGAGUGGAUGUAAUGGGUGUGGUGGAUGAGUGUGUGAUGUCCAUGUUUCCCUUUACAUUUGCACACAUGACCUCCAUCAUUUCAACCACAAAUCAACCCAUUUUCUACCCAUGUGUGUGUGUUUCCUUUGCCCAUGUGUGUGUGUUUUUCCUUUGCAUUUGCACACACAUGUUCUUCAUUAUUUCAGCCAACAAUCCACCCAUUUUCUGCCCAUGUCAAACUGUCCAUGCCUUGCCUUUCUCUUUGUGUGUGUGCUGUCCAUGUUUCUGAACCUUUCAGUUUUACAAUGCCCAUAACGUCUUCUAGAAAAAUGAUAUUAACAAUCCGUAAAUUGCUCCAGAAAAUAGACAUCCGUAGCUUUCCACGCAUAUAAGACUCAUUUUCUCAUUCAUUCUGAGCUGUUCGUAACAUGCUUUUAAAGUCAGCUAAUCUGCACAGGCAGUUUUGACGAAUUUGUUACUUAAUAAUUCACUUGUGCUACUUUUCUUUUCUUUGCUUGAUAAAUAGCUCAAAACACAAAAACAUAGUAAAUAGCUCAAAAAUAUAAGGAACUAACUAAGAAAAGACAAGUGAAUUUUAUGUAAAAUAUAUAUAAAUAUGAGCUUAUCAAAUACCCCCAUACUUAGCUUUUGCUAGUCCUCGAGCAAAAUAAAGAAAACAAAACACAAUCUAAACCUUCCAACAUUUGCCUUAGGGAUUUCCAACGCACAUGACAAGUUAAAAAUCAUCAUUCCCACAGAUUUUAGUCAACUUAACACUUGAGCACAUACUUAAUUAGUCACCACUUACUAGUUCACAUUUAACCAAUUAAAACGAUAUUUUGAAUGUAGUAACAUGCCUUAGAGAAUUUGCUCAAUUCCUUACAAGAUAUGCACUCAAUUUUCACUCAGAUUUUCGGGCUACACACCCUACACUAGGUACAUAUGAGAAGAUUGAUGUAAACAUGAAAACUAGUACUCACAUAUAUGUAUAACAAGAAAGCAUUUUCUGGUAUUAAUAAGCAUGUUUAGAUAUGAUCUCAUGAAUGGAAUGCUACUACUUAGAUGCGAGAACUAGUGACACCAUAUGCUCAUAUCAAUUUCAAACUCCACAUAUUGAAACGCAUGACACUCAAGAUGAAGUUAAGGGUUGUAACGGGGUUUAAGGGUAAUGGCUAACAAAGAAAGGAUAGGGAUAACAAACAUUCUGAAAGCAAUAGCAAGCAACGUAAUGAAAUAGACGCUUGGAAUUCACUUAAUAAUGCAGAAAUUAACUUUUAACACAACGGGAAGAUUCAAGCAGCACUUAGGGUCGAAUUCAAUGCUUUGGACCCUUUCUUCAACAAACAACACUUUAGAGCUCUUUCUCAUAUAUUUUUCAACUAUUUUUCACUAUUUUCACAACUUUUCUUCUUUUCAUUCUAUUUUUCACGAAUUUUUCUUUUCUACCCGUGCCUUAUGAAUGAUUUUGGCAUACACAUACACACAAGAAUCACUUCCCCCACACUUGUUUUUCUGCAAGAGUUCAACAAAAGAAAUUCCUUCUAAAUUAUGUUUUACUAUGCUUCAAGAACAAGGGUAUGGAUGGUCUUAAUCUAGGCUAGGUGAGGAUAAUGUGGGUAACAAAGAACAUAGGCUACACAAGGCUCAACGGGGUUAAACUUAAACACAUAAUGAACAGGAUAGGCUUUUUGGCUCUUGGCUCACUAAACAACUUCAUCUUGAAUAUGUGUUAUGCAAAUCAAUAACAUGCUUUGAAUGAAAUAGGCAUGAGUUCUAGCAUUUGGAACUAAAUGAUGAAACGCCUUCUAAGUAGCAACCAAGCAAAGAAUAAUGAGAUCAUGCAACGACUUUAGAAAACAAUGAUGGACAGAUUAUUAACUCUCCAAAUAAACGUUUAGGCUCAAGUCUCACAAGGUUGUAGCGUUCAUUUGAGUUCCUUCUUUCAAGCAUGUUACAAAAACUGAUUUUUUUUUCUUUUAUGAUUGCAUGUGAAUUCAUAAAUUAUAACCAUAACCAAGCAUACACCAAAGAGUAAAUCAAAUUUUCAUCCAUGUUUUUAACUCUCUUUAACAGUCAUGUAAUUAAAAACCAAAUCUUCAUCAUUGUGUUGGAAGGUACCUUAAGACACAAAUAAACAUACAAAAACAAUUUUUCAAAUUUUUAUGAGAUUUUCGGAUUUUUAUGUCAAAACACACUAAAACACUCCAAAACAGCUUAAAACACUUAAAAUAGCAAGGAACAACACUAGAAGUAACGGGUGAUAAACUCCUACGAAUUUCAUGCAAAGAAUUUCAUGCAAAACAAUGGUUACCAAUUCCCCCACACUUAGAUCAAACAUUGUCCUCAAUGUUUCAAGCAUAAACUCACACAAAAAAAAAACAAGCAACCGAACAAACAACGAAUAAACAUGACAAGUAUAGCAAAGUAAAAAAUAGACAUAGUAGAGUUUAAGAACGCAAAUCUAGUUUUGGAGAUAGGUGAUCUUGUUGUCUUUUCACAGCUUUGAUCUCGAACUGGUUCAGAAUUCUGAGCGAGAGAUAUGAGAGUUCCUUGGUUUCACAUCAGACUCCUUAUGCUGGGUUGAUUUGAUUGUGCAGUCUGCAUUCUUCUCUGCUUGUUUCUUCUGCACGGCAGGCAGGCACGAGGUAGAGGUGUUGGUCUGUUUCUUUGUUCAAUCUUUCCAAGUGCCCACCUCUUGCUUUCUUUCUCCUUGUCCCUAGCUGAGGAUGAAUUGGCAAUUUGUCUCCACAUGCUUCGAGGUAUCAUUUUCACUUCCUUUAUUUGUUCCCCAGGCAGAUGUGGUAGACGAAGAGGAAGCAUAAAAUGAUGAAGAUGAGUAUCCGAGAGCAAGGCUAGGUAAGCAAUCAGGAAGGGGUUCCAGGUAGUUGGUUCUAGAUCGGAAGAUUGAUACCAAGUGUUGGCUGAUUGCUCUCUUUCUCCUUGUCUUAAAACAACGACAAGGAGAAGGACAAGGAGAAAGCAUGAUAUGAGAUACUCUUGCUUUCAACCUUCAUGAUAUGAAAUACUUUUGCUUUGGAUGAGUUGUUUGCAGAAGUACCCCAAGGAAUAAGGAACACUGAGUGACUCGAAAGGGUUUGGAAAGGCAUUCUCUAAGAAGAAGAAGGGUUAUGUAAGUCUACCUUGCAAUUGAGGGUGAAGGUCGACAUUUAUAGGAAAUAAUAACCGGUACUGUUCUUUCACUCCUGUCGGCAACCGUUGGAUGAUUGAACAGUAAACUUCACGUGUUUUCUACUUCAACAGAAAUCGUCGACAGAUUGCCCGUGAUUUCCUCAACGCUGAUGAGGCUGAGAAAGACAGAUGGUUGGAAUCGGCGCUUCGACAAACUGCCCGUGAUUUCCGCAAAGCUUUCUCUGCAUGUGACAAGUGCUGACGAGGCUGAGAGAGACAGGCGCAUCUUUGCUAUCUGAGAUCGAUGCUUCGACAAAUUUUCUGUGAUUUUCGUAAAGCUGAGUUUACGUGUGACCGGAGCUGACGAGGCUAAGAAAGCCGACACUCUUCGAUAUCUGGAAUCGGUGGUUUGUGAGCAAUCCCAACUUUUGAGAAAGUUGGCGCCUCUUCGAUUUUUGAAUUGGCCUCUUUGAAUUCUGAGCUUGCCUCUUCAAUCUCUGAAAUCCCAUUACAUGUUGAUUUUUAUAGAGGUACGCAGGACGUUCACAGCACACUUGAAUUUCAACCUAUAAAAACUCCAUUCUUGCACUUCUACGAUCUUGACCUGUCCAACCUCUUCUUUCUUUAACACCUCUGAAAAUGUCUGGCCCCUCCGACCGUCGUUUUGACUUGAGCCUUGGUGAAGAGGCAGCCCCGCCUUCUCCAGACAACAUGUGGCGUCCAUCCUUCAUAUCCCCUACUGGCCCCCUUACCGUUGGGAUUCAGUGAUGAAGAAUGAUAUGACAGCUGCGGUGGUGGCCAGGAACCUUGUCACUCCUAAAGAUAAUAGACUGCUUUCAAAACGGUCUAAUGAGUUGGCUGUUAAGGAGUCUCUGGCUCUUAGUGUGCAGUGUGAGUGUUCUAUGUCCAACAUGGCCCAACGCCUAUUUGCUCGAACCCGUCAAGUUGAAUCGUUGGCGGCUGAAGUGAUGAGUCUCAAACAGGAUAUUAGAGGGCUCAAGCAUGAGAAUAAACAGUUGCAUAAGCUCGCACACAACUAUGCCACAAACAUGAAGAGGAAAAUUGACCAGAUGCAGGAAUCUGAUGGUCAGAUCUUACUUGAUCAUCAGAGGUUUGUGGGUUUGUUCCAACAGCAUUUGCCUUCGUCUUCUGGGGUUGUACGGCGUACUGAAGCUCCAAAUGAUCAACCUCCACUGCCUCCUCCUUCUGAGGCUCCGCCGACUACAAAGGCUCUGCCGAUUACUGAGACUUCUCCUAAGCAGCCUUUGUGAAGGCUCCCUCUUGUAUUUUCUGCUUAAUGUUCCCCUUUUCUUUCCAUGAAAAUGAAUGUAAAAAUACCUUGCAUAACUGUCAGUGUUUAAAAAAUAAACCCACACCAAAAACAAUUAAACAAGCAACAAAUAAAAAUGACAAUCAUGGCAAAAUAAAACUGCAGAAAAGGGAAGGUUUUUAGAAACGCAAAACUAAUUGUGGAGCAAUUCAAAAAUCUUCCUUAUUUGAAUACAUGGGUUGCCUCCCAAGAAGCGCUUGCUUUAAUGUUUUACAACCGGACGAAACUUCCUUCUAAACUUGGAUAGGGCCCAUAGCAUGGAAUUGAUCCUUGAAUGGAAGGUGAUACUUGACGUGAUCCGGCAAUGGUUUAAAUUCUAGUGCAGGUGCCUGAAUCAUCAAAAUCAGCAAGUUAGUAUAUAAUACAAUCGAAGUUGGAGAAGAUGGCUUACUUGCUUGCCAACACAAACUCAAUUACGAACACCACAUCUUUGAAGGUUGCAGGGAUAUGGGACUUGGCCAGAUCUGGUGUUUUGAGAGUUAUGACUUCUCCCGUGUUAUAAAAUCCAACUUCUUUGGGAAUUUUCAUCUCAAGUGUAUCUUCUUUGAUGAAUUCUAGACAUUCCCCAUCCACUUCUUGCUUUUGAUUCUUUGGAAAGGUUUCGAAGAAGCCUUUCUCACCCUAUUCUUCCUUAGAUUGCAUGAUCCUGCAAGGAAUAAGGACAUUUGGUGAAACGGGGUCAGGACAAAUUGAAUUUAGGCUUACCUUGGUUGUAGUGGAUGGCAUAGAUGGCAUAUGGGGCUGCGGCAAGGGUGGUUCUUCCCUUGCCGUGGCCUUGUUAUUCUCCUCUUCUUCGAGCAGCAGUUGUUCAUCCAUGUUUUGGAUUUGUUUGGAUGUUUUUGGUUCACCUCCAACCUCCAUAGCACUUCCCAAAGUGAUAGCAUCAUGGAUUUCAAAAUCUUUCUUCAAAUUUUCAAUAGUUGAGUUAGAGAGUCCACUUUGCUCUUGAAUUUGUGCCAUGAACUCCAUAAUCUGCCCAAUUUGCUUAUCCAAUUCUCCCGUCUUCUUGGCUUGAUUUUGCAUCUCUUUGUUUCCAUUUUCUACUUCCUAGUUCAAAGAGGUAAGUAACUUAUUAAACAUAUCAUUAUCCAAAGACGUACCUGAAUGAAUUGGGCAGAUUGUUGUGGUGGUUGCAUAAGUCUUGAAUAUAAUUCCUAUUCUUGCUACCAAUACCCAUCUUGUUGGAAUUGUUGAGGUUCUCCCCACAUGUAAUCUGAAUAAUCUCUCCAAUCCGAAUAGUAAGCGUUGGAAAACAUGUUGUCCCUUGAUUGGUUAUGGCCUUCAUAAUCCCAAGCAUCUUCAUUCGCAGCAAAUUGAGAACAUUGAUAAGUUGGAUAUCCUUGCCCAUAGGACACACCAUCUGUAGGGACAUUUUGCAUUGUGGUCUUUUUAGCAUAUUGUGACAAUUGAGAAGUAAGUUUCGCUAAUUGAGCUUGAUUGGUAGUAAAAUCCAUGUCUUACUUCUCUAGUACUUGAAAUCAAGGAAACAAAACUAAAUCAAAUAUCAUAAGUAAAAAUAAAAGACACAAAUAGAAACAAAGUCAGUAACUAAAACAAAAGACAUGAAAAAGAAACAACGGGGGAUUAGCAAAGUUCCUAAUCCCCAGCAACUUAACACACAAAUUAAACCCUCUUGUUGUCAAAUUGUAGUAAUAAUGCAAGUAGGGAUCGUUCUAAACCGGGGAUUAGGAGGGCUUGCUAAAACCUCUAAACUAACUCAAAAACAUAAAAACAAAGUUAAAAACGUUUGAAUAGACUUAAAAAACUUAAAACAGGUUCACAAGACUCAGAAUAAUUUAAAGACACUCAAAACUGCCUUAAAACACAAACUAGGCAGUUUCUGACUCUAACACAACUUUGGACGAAAUUUGGGUUUUGACUUGACUCAGAACACUCUAAAACACAAACAAACAGAUUUUAAACACUUUGAAACAAGAAAGUAAAAGGGGGAUUUUAGUUUUGAUGAAUUUGAAACAAAUAAACAAGUUAUAAAACUAGGCAGAUUGUAAAAUGAAUUUAAGAAAUAAGAAGAUGGAUGGAUUAGUUAGAGGUCCGUUCUUCACACAUGACACACUUGUAUAUGAAUUGAUUUCCAAUUGCUUUUCAAUAAACUAUGAUGCUCAACACCCCAGAUUAAUUAGGUACGCUUAAAUUAAUCCUCAGAUUUUCCUAAUUUCAUUGAAUUGGAUGAUUGCAUACAACAACCCAAAACAUUCCCCACAAGUUCCCUACAUGAAUUGCAUAAUAGAGAUACAAGCAAGAAUCAUUAAGUUCUAUGAAAAUCAUAAGCAUUGACGAAACACUUGUAACUAUGAAUUGCAUGAAACUUAUGCCAAGAAUUCAAUUAACGCGAUUGUGAUAAACAACCUUCACUACUCAUGAAUAUAAACUUGUGACGAUUAGGUGAAACUCAUUUAUAUUCUAGCAUCUAAUUCAUGCAUGAAAACUAAGUAUGCAUCCUUAAUAAACAUACAAGAAUCAGUUAUGAAUAAAAUAGAUAAUUGAAUUGCAAUCACAACUUAUCAAAUCACAAUUGGAAGAAAUCAAUUUAAAUCUCAAGCAUGUUUAUGGCUUCAAACUUCCCCCUAACUAAAUAGGGGUUUAGCCACUCAUACUUACAAAGCAAAGAUAAACAAAUUUAAACAUUGAAAACAAAAGAAAGAAAACACCUAAAAACGCUCCAACAAUCCAAUUUGAAUGGCAAGCACGUCCAAGGGUCCUCCUUCUUCUCUUUGUAGCGGCACAAGGUGUGGUUUGAUGGAUGAGUGGUAAAUUAUGGUAGUGGAUGAAUAUAGGUGAGUUAUAGUGAAGGGUGGAUGGGUGGAUUGUGUUCUCUUUGGUUUUCUUCCCCCUUGUUAUGGUGAAGGGUGAAUGUAUUUAUAGGCUAGGGAGAGGACCACCAUCUAAUUAAGGUGGUAGUGAUGAGUGUUGUGGUAAUGAGUGGAUGUAAUGGGUGUGGUGGAUGAGUGUUUGGUAAUGAGUGGAUGUAAUGGGUGUGGUGGAUGAAUGUGUGAUGUCCAUGUUUCCCUUUACAUUUGCACACACAUGACCUCCAUCAUUUCAACCACAAAUCAACCCAUUUUCUACCCAUGUGUGUGUGUUUCCUUUGCCCAUGUGUGUGUGUU
rnacentral:lncRNA from 1 species